UUUAAUUUCUCCCUUCAUCCCAUUUCUUUAAGUGCUAUGCUAGCUAUUCAGAUGGAUAAAAGGGGUUUUUAUGAUAUCUCCAUAUUUAUGCACUUAUCUCCUUAAUUCUUUGACAUUUUGUUUCUUGAGGAGAAUGGGGAAGGCAGCCAUUGGAAAGCCAACUGAGCAACAGGUGAAGGUUUAUUAAGUGCAUAUUAUUGGAGACCGCACGUCUAUGUGGAAACGGGGUUCUCAGAAACCUACAGCAUGCCUCAUCUUUAGUUGUAUAUUGGAGACUUGCUUUGUCCCCUAUUCUGAAUGCGCUCACUUUUAGGAACAGAAACAAUAAAGAUCAGCACAUACAGUGUAUUCUUCAGUGGAUGAAAGGAGUGAUACUUGCCCUACUUGUAAACAGGUAACAACAUGCCGCGAGGAAAACGAUUCAGAGUUGCAGUCUCAGCUUGAGCAUACCUUACUUGUAAACAGGUAUACAUUAUUCCCGCACUUAUGAAUUACAUCUCUCUUUCUCUCUCGUGACAAUUUUGACAGUUAUGUGAUUACUGAUAUGUUUCUUCUGUUUCAUUAGGUAAUGAUUUUUGAGAAAAUCAUUUAGAAAGAUUUAUACUUGCUAAUUUGCUUUAAAAAAAAUUAUAGCAUUAACAAGAAUACUAGCACAAAGGUCAAUAUGAAGGAGAAGGCGAAACAUUAAUAAAAUCUUUCAUUCCUUUUAGCAUCUAUAACAUCUGUUUCCAACCAUUCUUUCUGAGAAAUAAAAGCUCUUAUGCAAGAAUGAGUUGUGAUUCAGAGUUGCAUGAAUUGUUAACAUAUCAUGAGUAAACAAUGGGUAGUGUAUCGAGCAGCUCAGCAUCAGAAACAAUCUUACCAAAGAAUUGGUGAGCACCGCAAUCAAUAUUUAGAUUUUAUUUAUUAUUUAACUAAUAUUGCUUCUUUUUGUGCAUACUAG
rnacentral:lncRNA from 1 species